UCCUGCAGGGUGACGGAUGGCAGCAGGCAGGGUUCAAACUCAGGACCAUUGAGACCAUUAAAUAACUAAAUCUAGAUCCAUCUAUGAGAUCUGUUGUAUUUCAUUACAUUACAAAGUUUUCAAAAUACUUGGGCUGUAUUUUUUAUGGAAAUUUUGAACAUGACAGUGACACAAACAGAAUGGAAAAUACCCAGCAAUAACUGUUAGAAUUCUCAUGAUAUUAGUGAAAUGAUAGCAAGUCAGAGCUUCAUUUCAAGAGAUAAUUUGGUUCCACAAACCUUGUUGUUUUAUUACAAGUUUUUAAAUUUUUAUUUUACUUGUUCUCCUAUAGGCAUCAUUAGAAAAAACUGAAAAAAGCAAUCAAAGGUUUUGUAGUGAUGAGUGAGGAAUUAGAGAAUGUAUACAGUGCAUUUUUAAAUAACCAUGACAUUCUAACUUUGUUGUAGCUACCUAUCUUAUUUCUAGCAACAUACAAGAUUACUGGAUAGCCAAAGGUGCAGCACUCUUAUGUCAAAUUUCUGAUAAAUUUUGAUUACAGAUAAAUUGUAAAGCAUUAAACAAUAAAAGCAAUGUCCAAUAAAA